rnacentral:rRNA from 1 species
UACGUAGGGCGCGAGCGUUAUCCGGAAUUAUUGGGCGUAAAGGGCUCGCAGGCGGUUUGCCGCGUCUGCUGUGAAAUCCCGGGGCUUAACUCCGGGUGUGCAGUGGGUACGGGCAGACUAGAGUGCAGUAGGGGAGACUGGAAUUCCUGGUGUAGCGGUGAAAUGCGCAGAUAUCAGGAAGAACACCGAUGGCGAAGGCAGGUCUCUGGGCUGUUACUGACGCUGAGGAGCGAAAGCAUGGGGAGCGAACAGG